GACGAACGCUGGCGGCAUGCCUAAUACAUGCAAGUCGAGCGAACAGAUGAAGUGCUUGCGCUUCUGACGUUAGCGGCGAACGGGUGAGUAACACGUAAGGAAUCUACCUAUAAGCGGGGGAUAACAUUCGGAAACGGGUGCUAAUACCGCAUAAUAUCUUCUUCCGCAUGGAAGAAGAUUGAAUGAAGGCUCUGCUGUCACUUAAAGAUGACCUUGCGGUGCAUUAGUUAGUUGGUGGGGUAAUGGCCUACCAAGACGAUGAUGCAUAGCCGACCUGAGAGGGUGAUCGGCCACAUUGGGACUGAGACACGGCCCAAACUCCUACGGGAGGCAGCAGUAGGGAAUCUUCCGCAAUGGGCGAAAGCCUGACGGAGCAAUGCCGCGUGAGUGAAGAGGGCCUUCGGGUCGUAAAACUCUGUUAUAAGAGAAGAACAAAUUGUAGAGUAACUGCUACAGUCUUGACGGUAUCUUAUCAGAAAGCCACGGCUAACUACGUGCCAGCAGCCGCGGUAA
rnacentral:rRNA from 1 species